ensembl:processed_transcript uncharacterized LOC110285832
UGUGUUUCAGAGAGGGUGUGUCUGGCUGAGAGCAAAGGAGCCAUACCAGGUAUAUGUCUUAGUAAUGCUUUUUGUAGUAUAAGGUUGAAUGUAUAAUACUUAGACCUAGUGAAUUCCUGCUCACCCUGAUGAACUGAAUACCGCCCCAGUCUGAUAACUGUGAGGAAAGGUACUUUCUGAGUUGUGAGCUCAUCUUGGAUCAAGUAGGAAAUUUUUUAUGCUAGUCUGAUUUCUGUAGAAGAAGCUUAAGCAUUAAUGGCCCAAAUUGUUUGCUAUUUUCCAGGAAAGUUAAAGCGUAUUUUCAUCUUCAAGUCCAGGCUAAAAUAAGGUCUGAGGAAAAGAAUGAGCUGUGAGUGAAAGAUAGGUAAGCCCUUCAAGUCAUUAGAAUGGGCGGGGCAGGGUUGGUGGGAAACUGGUUAACUAGACAGCCUGUAGUCUUUUUUCUGAUAUUGAAUGUAGGAUGAUUUUGCUUUCUACUCUUAAUUCAAUUUUUUUUAUCUUGCAGGAACAGAAAUCAUGAAAGAUCUGUUUGUCCAGGCCAGUGUUUCACCAUAAGAGAUCACUUUAAAAUAGAUGAAAUAAUUCUUUGCAAUUGCAAAUUUACCUUCCUUGCUUAACCACAUUCAUUGUUAACUGUAGGAGCUGAUAUCUGGUCCUUCCAUUGAUGACUUGUAGCUCUGUAUUCUAGCAAUAAACGCUCUUUAUGCUA